rnacentral:rRNA from 1 species
AUUGAACGCUGGCGGCAGGCCUAACACAUGCAAGUCGAACGAGUGGCGGACGGGUGAGUAAUGUCUGGGCAUCUGCCUGAUGGAGGGGGAUAACUACUGGAAACGGUAGCUAAUACCGCAUACUAUCAGCUGUGCCCAGAUGGGAUUAGCUUGUUGGUGGGGUAAAGGCUCACCAAGGCGACGAUCCCUAGCUGGUCUGAGAGGAUGACCAGCCACACUGGAACUGAGACACGGGCCAGACUCCUACGGGAGGCAGCAGUGGGGAAUAUGGCACAAUGGGCGCAAGCCUGAUGCAGCCAUGCCGCGUGUAUGAAGAAGGCCUUAGGGUUGUAAAGUACUUUCAGCGGGGAGGCGUUACCCGCAGAAGAAGCACCGGCUAACUCCGUGCCAGCAGCCGCGGUAAUUC